GUGCCCAUAGCUUAGUGGUAAAGCUCCGCCCUGUGGAGGCGGCGAUGAGAGUUCGAUCCUCUCUGGGCACCCCA
rnacentral:tRNA from 3 species